UUUUACGGCAUGGCCAGUUGGGUGGAGGAAGUCGCGUUGCCUCGGUAAAUGGGAGAGAAUUGGAUCCUGAGGGGAAGCUCUGACAUGCGGGCAGCUUCCACAGUAACGCAGUGAGAGGAGUGAGCAGUGGGCCCCAGAGGCCGUGCAGGAAGUGGCCUUUCCUGGGUCAGUGCUUCCGGCGAGAACUGUCCAACACGGCGUCUGUGCGAAGAUGAGGCCUCCUCUCAAGACCCAACUUAACGUUCAGCUCACUGAAUCUGGCUCCUACCGGCGUGUGCUGAUCUGGAGAGAAGGCCCCACGGUCCGGGCAAGGACGCCGGAGUGAGCCCGGUGUGUGUGGAGGGCUGUCAUUUAUUCUUUCAAGGCUCACUCGCUGAAAAGGGGACACAGCUAUUUGUAUCUAAAUGUAUCUAAAUGUGCAUAAUUGGUACAAAAUCAGAAACCAUAGAAAUACAGAAUUUAUCAGCCUUUGAACUUAGUAAAUCAGUUAAAAUCAUGUUGUGAUGGAAGGUGCGUGAGACUCUCACGGUUGUUGGUCACAUCCCUCUCCCAUCUCGUCUCUGGAAAGGACAAAACAAAUAACUGGGUUUACUUCUGUAAAACACUGAUUUAACUAAAGUAAAUAACAUAUAACAUAGAAAGCCUAUAGAGAAAAGGGUUUAAAAAUGAUUUUUUUAAUUAUUUUUUAAAAAUAAUUUUUCCUUAAAGUAAAAUAAUUUUUCCUUAAAGUAGCUCAAAUAGUUUGGACACGGCGAUGCACGUUCAUUGUUAGAGAAGCAGGGGUGGAUUCACCAAGAGGUCAAGAAGUAAGGAAAGUGGCUCUGCCCUGGGAGUGUCCUUGGAGGCUCCUCCUCUGGGCAGGAGCCCCUCACUCCCUGAGCACUGGUUCUCAGGGCACGCUUUUAUGAACAGUUUUGUUUGUUUCUGUAAAGAAACAAAUAUAGGGGGGGGAAUACCCUGUGCUAUAGGCAUUUAAAAAUGAGGGGGGGCUUCUUUUCUUUGAGAUUAUAGGAAAAAAGGAUUUGGAAACUACAGUUUUGGGCCCAGCUAACAGAUUAGACAGCACAAAUAAUUUCAGACAUGUGUGAUUCUAGAUCAUUUGCCUUUUCCAUUUGGGGAAAAAAAAGUGUAAUGCAUGCUCAAGACCUCUCCAAAAACCCAAGUGAGUAGACAUGAGACCCAGGACACAGAGAUCUUAAACAGAAAAUGCAUCAGAAACAAUCAAUCCAAAAAAACAAAAAUGAAAACAAACAAAACACACAACACGUUCUCCCCGCCGGACCAUCGAUGACUGAUUAUUCCAAACUAAACCUUUCAAACAAUAAAAAGGUAUUUUUUAAAAAAU